UCCCAGACUGCUGUGGUCUCUACGCUCCCCAUAUCUCCUCUCGCUGGUGUCUCACACCGACUAAGAAAGCUUCAGCUCCAAAUUCCAGAUCAUGCAGUGCUAGGAUCCAAUCUGGGGCUUCCUGCAGACUAGGCAAGGACUCUAUCAAUCAAGCUGUGUCUCCAGCUCACUUCCUAGAUGAAGACUGGAAGGGGAUGGACUGAAGACCUUACUAGUGGAAGAAAAAGGGGAAAUGAUUCCAUUUCUUUGCCCUACAUGUCUAAGUUGUAAUUCUUUGAGCUUCCAGAGUACUGUACCAGAAAUUGCCGGAAAUAAACUCACAUUGCUUGCCCAAUGAGCUGUUUCAGAAAUUCAUAGUGGGAUAUGUUCUCUUCUGUGAAUUCCCAUGAGUCACUGAUGUAUGCUUUAAUAAUAUCUCCUGAUAAUUCCAACUUUAUUCAGAAAACUAUUUCUUGAAGAGAUUAUUGUUGUUAUACUGCUGUGCAUUCAAAGAUUUUAAUCAAAACUAUAGGAAACAAAGUUAACUAAAAAAAUCAAUUUAUGCUAGCUAUUGUACUUCUGUUCUCAAAUAUACAUUUAGAACAACUUAAAGCCAUUAAUUGCCGUAACUAAAUUACAAUAAUUUAAAAUUUAGUAGCUUCUUAAGGAUAUUACAAAUCCUAAAUCAACACAGUUCACUUACAUAAUCUGCUUUUCACUGUUUGGUUUUUAAGAAAAUUAAGGGGGGAGUGAUGUUUUUGUUGUAAAGAUAGUAAGUGUGACUACCUUCUUUGUAUAAAUAAAUACCUCUGUUUAAGGAA